UUACCCCUGUACCCUAGAGG
rnacentral:misc_RNA from 1 species